rnacentral:rRNA from 1 species
AUUGAACGCUGGCGGCAGGCCUAACACAUGCAAGUCGAGCGGAUGAAGGGAGCUUGCUCCUGGAUUCCGCGGCGGACGGGUGAGUAAUGCCUAGGAAUCUGCCUGGUAGUGGGGGAUAACGUCCGGAAACGGGCGCUAAUACCGCAUACGUCCUGAGGGAGAAAGUGGGGGAUCUUCGGACCUCACGCUAUCAGCUGAGCCUAGGUCGGAUUAGCUAGUUGGUGGGGUAAAGGCCUACCAAGGCGACGAUCCGUAACUGGUCUGAGAGGAUGAUCAGUCACACUGGAACUGAGACACGGUCCAGACUCCUACGGGAGGCAGCAGUGGGGAAUAUUGCACAAUGGGCGAAAGCCUGAUCCAGCCAUGCCGCGUGUGUGAAGAAGGUCUUCGGAUUGUAAAGCACUUUAAGUUGGGAGGAAGGGCAGUAAGUUAAUCCCUUGCUGUUUUGACGUUACCAACAGAAUAAGCACCGGCUAACUUCGUG